CCUACGGGUGGCAGCAGUGAGGAAUAUUGGUCAAUGGGGGCGAGCCUGAAGCAGCCACGUAGCGUGAAGGAUGACUGCCCUACGGGUUGUAAACUUCUUUUAUAAAGGAAUAAAGUGAGGCACGUGUGCCUUUUUGUAUGUCCUUUCUGAAUAAGGCUAGGCUAACUCCGUGCCAGCAUCCGAGGUAAUACGGAGGAUCCGAGCGUUAUCCGGAUUUAUUGGGUGUAAAGGGAGCGUAGAUGGGUUGUUAAGUCAGUUGUGAAAGUUUGCGGCGCAACCGUAAAAUUGCAAUUGAUACUGGCAGUCUUGAGUACAGUAGAGGUAGGCGGAAUUCGUGGUGUAGCGGUGAAAUGCUUAGAUAUCACGAAGAACUCCGAUUGCGAAGGCAGCUUAAUAAACUGCCACUGACAUUGAUGCUCGAAAGUGUGGGUAUCAAACAGGAUUAGAUACCCCGGUAGUC
rnacentral:rRNA from 1 species